rnacentral:rRNA from 1 species
UGGGGAAUAUUGGACAAUGGGCGAAAGCCUGAUCCAGCAAUGCCGCGUGAGUGAAGAAGGCCUUCGGGUUGUAAAGCUCUUUUACCCGGGAAGAUAAUGACUGUACCGGGAGAAUAAGCUCCGGCUAACUCCGUGCCAGCAGCCGCGGUAAUACGGAGGGAGCUAGCGUUGUUCGGAAUUACUGGGCGUAAAGCGUACGUAGGCGGCUUUGUAAGUCAGAGGUGAAAGCCCACGACUCAAUCGUGGAACUGCCUUUGAGACUGCUUCGCUUGAAGAUGGGAGAGGUUAGUGGAAUUCCGAGUGUAGAGGUGAAAUUCGUAGAUAUUCGGAAGAACACCAGUGGCGAAGGCGGCUAACUGGACCAUUCUUGACGCUGAGGUACGAAAGCGUGGGGAGCAAA